rnacentral:misc_RNA from 1 species
AUGUAACAGCGGAUAGAGGCACCUAAGAAAAUACCAUAAAUUUUGAGCACAAAGAAAGGCAAACAUUGUAAGUUAAAUAACAAUAAAAAAGACACUUGUAACUUAAAAGCAAACAGAAGAUAACAAUGCAAAACAAGAAUUGUGCGAGCAUGAAUAACUUAGAAUCAUUAGGCCAAGGGGUAAUGAUUAAGUGUGCAAACUUG